AGCAAAGAAGUGGGACACUGAAAGGACUGAGGAGAGGCGAAAAUAAUACAUUGAGAUAAGACGUAGGGCAAAGGAAGAGGCGGCGAAAGCAAAAGAAGGGGCAUAUGACGAUAUGUAUAACAGGUCGGAGACAAAAGAAGGAGAAAAGGAUUACUACAGGUUGGACAGACAGAGGGAUAGAGAUGGGAAGGAUGUGCAGCAGUCUCCUGUUACCUGGCUGUCUGCUGGUGGGCAGGGCCACCUGUUGCACACCUGAUGGCAGUGAUGAUCAGGAGUUCAUUUAGGAUGGCACAGUGGAUCAGCUGGAAAGCACUGGCCUCAAAGUUCUGAGGUGCAGUGUUCAAUCACGGACCUGCCUGUGUGGAGUUUGCAUGUUCUCCCCUUGCCUGCAUGGAUUUCCUCCGGCCACUCCGGUUUCCUCCCACAUCCCCAAAACCUGCAAUUUUAAUCGGAUACAAAAUUGCCCCUAGGUGUGAUUAAACUGCCAUGAACACAUCCAGUACAUCCAGCUGGUUCUGCAACGUCUCAUGGAAAACUGGCUGUAUGUUAAAGCGGAUAAGUGUGGAUUCCAUUGUAGCUCUGUUCAGUUUUUGGGGUUCAUCCUGGAGAAUGGGCAACAACUAGCAGAUUAGGCUAAAAUCCAGGCUGUGGUAGAUUGGCCUUCUCCUACAUCAAGGAAACAAGCAAUUUUCUAAAAGCGAUUAAUUCACAAUUUGAGUAAUUAGGCAGAGCCUAUAACCAAGCUGACAUCAUCAGAAGUCCCUUUUAGGGGGACCCGAGACGCUGCAUUUGAUACGCUUAAGCGACUAUUUACUUGUGCAUCCAAUCUGAUUUACCCCAACAUUGAUUUCCAAUUUUUUUUUUCUUGAAGUUGACACUUUGGAUUCAGGCGUGGGGGCUGUCCUAUCCCAGAGAUCCCCGGUCAAAAAGAGGCUUCACCCCAUCACCUUCUUCUGCCGUCGUCUCAAGUCCGUCUGAGCAGAAUUUUCAUGUUUCUUAAUUUCCGUCAAGCUUGGUGGGCCCUGUUCCUAACUCGUUUCAAUUUCACCAUCACCUACAGACUUGGCUUGAGAAAUAUUAAGACAGAUGCUCUCCCCGUGCUCCACGAGUCAUCUUUGGAGGACCAACCCUAGAAGACAGUUGUACCAACGGCCCGUAUUGUGGGAGGACUCUGGUGGGAGUUUGAAACUUGGGUGGGCAAGGUGCAGAGAGAGUUACAGGUCCCUGAUGGAUGCCCAAAUGGAAAAGUUUUUGUUCCUGGCAGAUUACGCCCAGAGGUACUACAAUGGGGACAUGACUCUAAGUUGGCCUGUCACCCAGGAGUUGUUUGGACUUGCUUUUUGGUUUCCCAGAGGUUCUGGUGGCCGGGGCUUCAUAAAGACGUAGAAAGAUUUGUUGCUGUCUGCCUGGUUUGUGCCCUCUCCAAGACUUCUCGUCCACCCUCGGUGGGCCUCCUCUGUCCACUUAACGUUCUUUCAUGCUGUUGGUCGCAUAUUGCCUUGGAUUUUGUCAUGGUCUUCCACUCUCAUGAGGCAACUCAGUGAUCCUCAGUGUGAUGGACAGGUUUUCCAAGAUGGCCGACUUCCUCCCUGGAGACCACUAUGCUGUUGGUUGAGGACAUCUUCAAAAUCCAUGGUAAUACCUCGGCCCCGGUUUCGGACAGGGGACCCCAGUUUGUCUCUCAGGUGUUGAGGGCGGUCUGUAAGGCCUUGGAUGUGUCUGCCUGCCUUUCCUAAGGGUAUCACGCCUGGUCAAAUGCUCAGGUAGAGUGUGCCAAUCAAGACCUUGUGGCUGCCCUUCGCCGCAUCAUCAACACCAAUCAUCAUGGUCCUCCCAGCUGCCGUGGAUGGUGUAUGCUCAUAAGUCUCUCUUUUGCUCGGCAACGGGUAUGUCACCCUUCCAUGUGGCUUAUGGUUAUCAGCCUCCCGUAUUCCCUUUUCAGAAGAGGUAUGUUUCUGUUCCUUCGGUCCAUUUUCUCCUUAGGCGGGCCCAUCACGUGCCCGUGCAGCACUAACCUGCACUGCUGCUCGCAAUAGGCUGGUGGCCAACUGCUAUGUCCCCGCUCCAGCUUACCUUCCGGGGCAGGUGUGGCUCUCGCGGAACUUGGGGUUGGCCAGAAUUUGUUGUCAAAGAAUUUGGGCCCAAAGUUCAUUAGUCCCUUGGAAAUUGUCUCUGCCCUAAACCUGGCUGGCGUGAAGCUCAAGCUCCCUUCUCUGCUUAAGGUACAUCCAGUCUUCCACGUUUCCGUGCUCGAGCCUGUCUCUGCCUGCUCAUUGAGUCCUCUGGUGGUUCCACCCCCGCUGUCUGUGGUUGAUGACCAGCCUGCCUACACUGUUAGGUCUGUUUUGGACUCUCAGAAAAGGAGCUGGGGUGUCCAAUAUCAGUUCAACUGGGAGGAGUAUGGUCUUGAGGAGAGCCAAUGGAUUCCGUGCUCUUGGAUCCCAGACCCGUCUGUCAUCCACCACUUCCAAUCGCUCCAUCUUGAUAAGACGUGUAUGCCGGCAGGGGGUGUCCUUUGCGGGGAGAGUGGGGGUUGUCUCGUCCUGUCAAUGGGAUUAUUGGUGCUUGUUUCAUGCUGACCUUUUAUCAGCGUUUCUUAGUGUUUGUACUUUUACUGCUUCAGCUUGUGUGUUACGUGCACUUUUAGUUCCUCUUUCUCUCCGUAUGUUAGAUUCAAAUUUUAUUAUUAAAUAGAGUGUGCGCUACCCAACCAGUCUUCUAUCGGGGUCUUUAUUCCUUCAACGUUGCAUAACACAUUUAUGUUCAAUGGUUACUCUCAAUACAAUUCUGUUGCAGGUCUCAUUGCCCACACUCUGCCUUUUAAGAACCCCCCAAAUAACAGGUCUAGUGGUGUGAGGUCUGGUGACUCUGGAGGCGAUUCAACAAAACCCUUCUGUCUAAUCCACCUAUUUGGCAAGAACUCAUUAAGGAAGGAUCUAACAUCACGAUGGCAGAGUCAGGGUGGCCCAUCUUGCUGGAAAAAAAAAAAAAAAAAAAAAAAAACCUCUUCUUCAAAGUCUUCUCUAAUGCUUGGCAUGACAGACUCUUGCAGCAAAUAAACAGCCAGCCACAGUAGCGCAAAAAAAAAAAGGGUCCAAUAUAUCCUCUUGAUGAUAAGACGGACCACACUGUAAUUCGUGCUGAAUUAACAUGGUAGUCGACCAUAACGUGUAGGUGCAUUUGUGGCAGUUAACCAAGCCAUGUAAUUUGAAUGUGGCCUCAUCACUCCACACAGCAGUCGUGGGAAAGUGUGCAUUUUCGUUAAAUUGUAUACCACUAACAGUACUGUACUCUUCAGUCUGGAUCAUCGUCAUGAAGAGCAUGAACUAACCUUGGAAUUUAACUUUUCCAUUGACAAAGUUUCUUGAUGCGUUGGACAGAUGAUUUUGAAAUCCCUACCUCACGACCAGCUUGAUGCACAGACUUUCUUGGACUUUGAUGAAAUAUUUUCAGUUCUCUUUCUUCCUUUGCAGGGCUUGUCGAUGUAGUACAUGGUCUUUCGGAAUGCUUCUUGUGGACGUUCUGAAAAGUUCCAUCAGCUUCAAAAUCACCUCUAAGUGAUAUCUCUGAGUGAUGGUAAAUUGUGCUGGUGGUCCUUGGAAGCUCUCUCCUAAAUUGUCUUUGUACUUCAACUGCGUUUUCAUACUUCAGUACCAUUUUAGAAUUAAUUUUUUUUCUUCAAAGUUUAGUCGGGCUGCCAUCGUUCCGUUCAAUCAGUUCAAUGUGCAAAGAAAAUUGAGCUGCUAAAAGGUGCAUAGGUUUUUUGGGACACCCUGUAGACAAAUCAGACUGGCAUGUCAAUAUUUGGAAACUCAUAACACUGUUCUAAAUACCAUCCACUAUAUUCAGAAGUUGUUCAAUAUAAACAGCCAAUGUCAA